ensembl:lncRNA
CCAGGCUGCUGCCGUUUCAAGCAGUCAGAUUGUCCUGAUCAUCUUUGUUGAUUUUUAGCCCUUUGCUUAUUUUUAGCCCUGAAAGGAUGAGAAUUUCCUAUCCCUCCACCAUCCUCUCAAGGCGGUGGGGCCUUGUUUGUAUUAUCAACAAGGAUAGAAAGCAGAAAAUCUUUCAGAGUUUUUUUUUUUUUCCCAUCUACACUGACAGUUGACUAAAAGCAUUUCCGAAUUGGACCCUAAAAAAAAACAUCACGAGCAGGAAAAUCGCCUUGAUAGGAACGUUGCUGUCUUUAAAACAUGCGUGUGAGGAAACAGGCUCAUCGGAAGCCCUAUAAAUAGCUAGGUGCACAACCAGAAGGAUUCAAGAAUUUGGAAUCUUACAUCAUUUUUCCACUAUGACUUCCUGGAAACUAAAGUGCCUGUGGGUUCCAGGACAAGUGAAAGAGUUGGGGCAUUACAGGCCCAACUCUAGAUCCUUAGAUACUAAUCCUCCUGUGAGUCACAGUAGAGUCAGAGGACCCAGGAAACAUCCUUUUGCCCAGCCUUCCCUUGAAACCUUUUGUUCCUGCCUGAAAGGACUUGAAGUUAUGAAGACUUGCCAUUUAAGGGAACAUAUUUAUCCCUGCCUUGGGACAGACCCACUGAACUGAGGAUGUGGUUUCUAUCCCUUGUAAAAUCAACUUUCCGUCAAUGGGCACGUGUUUGGUUUCCUGAAGAGCUGAGCUGUUGGAACGCACGGCUGGGGGAGAGGAAAAGCUCUCCUCCCGGCUCUGCUGGAUACCUUGAAGGACGGGCCUUCCCAGUGGACCUUGCUCUGCGUUUUACACUGACUCUUUGUCCCCGUAGCCUGGUGAGUGUGUCUUUCCAGGAAGCAAGUUUACUGUGGAAGCCAGGAUGGUCCAAAAGGAAGAGAAGCUAGUGACUGUCACUCCAGUGUGUUUACUUCUUUUCAUUUGUUCGACAUAUAUAUUCUGAACACUUAGCCUGUCCUAGGAGCUGAGCUUAGCACUGUGGCUCUCGGAUGAACAAACCCCAUGUUUUCCCUGCUCACAUUCUGUCUUAUGCCUGGUGGAGCUGAUCAGGGGUGAGCAUUACCCCUCAUCUCUUAAACUAGGCUCAGAGACUAGGCUGCACAUUUCUUCGCCUUCCACCCAUUCAACAAAGACUUACCAAUUCUCUCCUAUGUUCAAACCACUGCAGUGGUCCCUGGAAGAAUCAGGGGGGCAUCCUGUCCUCACUGUCUUUGAGGAAAGAUGAUCGUAUCAAAAUAGAACACUCAUCUGGGUUGUUUCCAGUUUGAGGCUAUUAUGAGAAAAGCUGCUAUGAAUAUACUUGUGGGAUUCUUUUCAUGGACAUACGUCUUCAUUUAUCUUGGACAAAUAUGUUAUGGGAAGGUCCUUUACUGGGUGAACAGAUACACUGUGGUAUCUGCAUCUCAUGGAAUAUUACUCAGAAAUAAAAAGGAAUGAAUUACUGACACUUACGGUGUCAUGGAAGAAUCCAAAAAAUACAUAACGAUGAGCAAAAGAGGCCAGCCACGAAAGAGUUCAUUCUGUAUGAUUCUAUUUAUAGAAAGUUCUAGAUCAGGAACAAUGAAUCUAUGGCGAGAGAAAUCAGGACAGUGGUUGCCUCGUGGGGGAGGAUGGACCGGGAAAGAUACAUAGGAGAAAAUUCUCCAAUUUGUCUGGGGUGGUAGUUCCACCUAUGUACACAGUUGUCAAAGCUUACCACACUGUACACUCAAAAUCUGUGUACUCUGUAUAUGUAAAUUAUGCCUCAAUAAAUAUUUAAUUUUAAAAAAGACCCCACAAAUCUGCAGAGGGAAUUCAUUUGUAUCCAGAAUAAACACGGCAAGAGGCUAAAUUUGACAGUUGGUGCUGGGUACAUAUACGUUUGUCAGUUAUUGUAUUACUUGUGAACUUUUCUGCAUGCUUGAAAAAUUCACAGUAAAAAUUUUUUUUAAUUAAAAAACAAAAAAAUAGCUAUAGAAUAAUCAAACCCCCAAGUGAGAAGGGAUCCCAGAGGUCAUUUAACCCAACUUCCCACCUUGAACUUGGACCCCCUUAAAACAUCCCUGUUAGAUGGUCUCCCAGACUCAGCUGGAGCACAUCGAUGGAGGGAGCGUGUGUACUGCCUCCUGGGGCAGCUUGUUCC